AUUUUCUGUUUUCGGAAGUUGCUGGGUUCGUUUUAUUCAGCGGCAGUGGUGCUUUCCCGAAUCUCAGAAUGCCUGUUAAAAGAUCACUGAAGUUGGAUGGUCUGUUAGAAGAAAAUUCAUUUGAUCCUUCAAAAAUCACAAGGAAGAAAAGUGUUAUAACUUAUUCUCCAACAACUGGAACUUGUCAAAUGAGUCUAUUUGCUUCUCCCACAAGUUCUGAAGAGCAAAAGCACAGAAAUGGACUAUCAAAUGAAAAGAGAAAAAAAUUGAAUCACCCCAGUUUAACUGAAAGCAAAGAAUCUACAACAAAAGACAAUGAUGAUUCUCUCCUCAGAAUACAUCUGAGGAACUUAAUAGAGAAAAAGUAAAUGAUGAAACUACAUUUGAAGCUAAGAAUGGAAAAUAAUUGAAAGAAUUGAAAGUGGCCAAGAUAGGAAGAACCCAGAACUGGUACAGAAUGAUAGUUUUGAAAGUCAAGUUACACCUGACUUGAGACUGAAGAAGUUAAUGUAGAAGGAAGGAAAAGCAGAAUUAAUGGAUACAUCCAAUGCUUCUCAUGGAUUUUAUUUGGCUGAUGCACCUAAUUUCAGUUGUUUUUCAGAAUAAAGACUUUUUCUUUGAGGAAUGUGAGAGAACUCUGAAUUUCACAAUGCAACUCUUCUAAGCAAAUUGGAAAACUGCACUGAAAAUCCUGAAUUUUGACAUGUAGCUCCCUCAAGAGAAAAACUACGAGAUGCUUUAAAAAAAUGCUGCUGGGUUUUUACUCUACGAUGAAAAAGAAGGUUAAUUCAAGGAGGACCAAGACUUCAGAUUUCUUAGGUUGUGCUACAGUAGUCUUUGACCACAAUGCAGAUUUGAUUAAAUCUUGUAAGGAUGCCGUAAAACUGGCAACAGUCACUGGAUACCUGGAUGUAGUGGCCCAUUGACAUCUGGAUGGCUCAAAGGGUCAUUAUAAGAUAAAGGAUUUGGUCCAAUUUAGUCUAGCGAGAGGCAAAUCUAUUUGAGAAAGAAA
rnacentral:lncRNA from 1 species